rfam:Pediculus humanus corporis strain TSDA 1103172085044, whole genome shotgun sequence.
AUACUUACCUGGCGUAGGGGCUACCGUGAUCAUGAAGGCGGUUCCCCCGGGACGAGGCCUUACCAUUGCACUUCGGUUUGGUUGACUCCUGCGAAUGCCCCAAAUGUGGGCAUCUCGGGCGCGUAAUUUUUGGUAGUCGGGACUGCGUUCGCGCUCUCCCGGU